AGAGUUUGAUCCUGGCUCAGAUUGAACGCUGGCGGCAUGCCUUACACAUGCAAGUCGAACGGUAACAGGUUAAGCUGACGAGUGGCGAACGGGUGAGUAAUGUAUCGGAACGUGCCCAGUCGUGGGGGAUAACUACUCGAAAGAGUGGCUAAUACCGCAUGAGACCUGAGGGUGAAAGCGGGGGAUCGCAAGACCUCGCGCGAUUGGAGCGGCCGAUAUCAGAUUAGCUAGUUGGCGGGGUAAAAGCCCACCAAGGCGACGAUCUGUAGCUGGUCUGAGAGGACGACCAGCCACACUGGGACUGAGACACGGCCCAGACUCCUACGGGAGGCAGCAGUGGGGAAUUUUGGACAAUGGACGAAAGUCUGAUCCAGCCAUGCCGCGUGCGGGAAGAAGGCCUUCGGGUUGUAAACCGCUUUUGUCAGGGAAGAAACGACGUCCUCUAAUACAGGGUGUUAAUGACGGUACCUGAAGAAUAAGCACCGGCUAACUACGUGCCAGCAGCCGCGGUAAUACGUAGGGUGCAAGCGUUAAUCGGAAUUACUGGGCGUAAAGCGUGCGCAGGCGGUUAUGCAAGACAGAUGUGAAAUCCCCGGGCUCAACCUGGGAACUGCAUUUGUGACUGCAUGGCUAGAGUACGGUAGAGGGGGAUGGAAUUCCGCGUGUAGCAGUGAAAUGCGUAGAUAUGCGGAGGAACACCGAUGGCGAAGGCAAUCCCCUGGACCUGUACUGACGCUCAUGCACGAAAGCGUGGGGAGCAAACAGGAUUAGAUACCCUGGUAGUCCACGCCCUAAACGAUGUCAACUGGUUGUUGGGAGGGUUUCUUCUCAGUAACGUAGCUUACGCGUGAAGUUGACCGCCUGGGGAGUACGGCCGCAAGGUUGAAACUCAAUGGAAUUGACGGGGACCCGCACAAGCGGUGGAUGAUGUGGUUCAAUUCGAUGCAACGCGAAAAACCUUACCUACCCUUGACAUGUCUGGAAUCCUGAAGAGAUUUGGGAGUGCUCGAAAGAGAGCCAGAACACAGGUGCUGCAUGGCCGUCGUCAGCUCGUGUCGUGAGAUGUUGGGUUAAGUCCCGCAACGAGCGCAACCCUUGUCAUUAGUUGCUACGAAAGGGCACUCUAAUGAGACUGCCGGUGACAAACCGGAGGAAGGUGGGGAUGACGUCAGGUCAUCAUGGCCCUUAUGGGUAGGGCUACACACGUCAUACAAUGGCCGGUACAGAGGGCUGCCAACCCGCGAGGGGGAGCCAAUCCCAGAAAACCGGUCGUAGUCCGGAUCGUAGUCUGCAACUCGACUGCGUGAAGUCGGAAUCGCUAGUAAUCGCGGAUCAGCUUGCCGCGGUGAAUACGUUCCCGGGUCUUGUACACACCGCCCGUCACACCAUGGGAGCGGGUUCUGCCAGAAGUAGUUAGCCUAACCGCAAGGGGGGCGAUUACCACGGCAGGGUUCGUGACUGGGGUGAAGUCGUAACAAGGUA
rnacentral:rRNA from 1 species